rnacentral:rRNA from 1 species
ACGAACGCUGGCGGCGUGCCUAAUACAUGCAAGUCGAGCGGAAUGAAGAAGAAGCUUGCUUCUUCUGAUUUUAGCGGCGGACGGGUGAGUAACACGUGGGCAAUCUGCCCGUAAGACUGGGAUAACUCCGGGAAACCGGGGCUAAUACCGGAUAAUACUGACUCUCUCCUGAGAGUCAGUUGAAAGAUGGUUUCGGCUAUCACUUACGGAUGAGCCCGCGGCGCAUUAGCUAGUUGGUAGGGGUAAUGGCCUACCAAGGCGACGAUGCGUAGCCGACCUGAGAGGGUGAUCGGCCACACUGGGACUGAGACACGGCCCAGACUCCUACGGGAGGCAGCAGUAGGGAAUCUUCCGCAAUGGACGAAAGUCUGACGGAGCAACGCCGCGUGAGUGAAGAAGGUUUUCGGAUCGUAAAACUCUGUUGUUAGGGAAGAACACGUACGAGAGUAACUGCUCGUACCUUGACGGUACCUAACCAGAAAGCCACGGCUAACUACGUG